rnacentral:rRNA from 1 species
UACGUAGGUGGCGAGCGUUGUCCGGAAUUACUGGGUGUAAAGGGAGCGUAGGCGGGAGAGCAAGUCGACUGUGAAAUCUAUGGGCUUAACCCCCAAACUGCUUUUGAAACUGUGGGUCUUGAGUGAUGGAGAGGCAGGCGGAAUUCCCAGUGUAGCGGUGAAAUGCGUAGAUAUUGGGAGGAACACCAGUGGCGAAGGCGGCCUGCUGGACAUUAACUGACGCUGAGGCGCGAAAGCGUGGGGAGCAAACAGG